rnacentral:lncRNA from 1 species
UUUUUGCUGUUUUGUGAAAAUAUCAAUUGAGAGCAAAGGAGAAUUUUUGGGUCGUGUGGCUGCAGUGUGUUUUCUAGGGUUGUGAAUCAGCAGGAAAUGAACUUUUAUAUUGCUGUUUAGCCAAGCUAAUGGAAGUGCUAAGUUGGAUUAUGUUUAAUGAGGCAUUUUGCAUUCUUGCUAAUUUUGGAACCAAUGAAAAUGGAGGUGUGAAUUUGGCACGGUUUUGGGCCUGCUACAAGCUGCUAGUGGCCAGCACAAUUGCUGUUUU